rnacentral:rRNA from 1 species
UACAGAGGGGGCAAGCGUUGUUCGGAAUUACUGGGCGUAAAGGGCGCGUAGGCGGCUAAACAAGUGACGGGUGAAAGCCCUCGGCUUAACCGAGGAACUGCCUGUCAGACUGUUUGGCUUGAGACCGGGAGAGGUGAGUGGAAUUCCCAGUGUAGCGGUGAAAUGCGUAGAUAUUGGGAGGAACACCGGUGGCGAAGGCGGGUCUCUGGGCAGUAACUGACGCUGAGGAGCGAAAGCGUGGGGAGCGAACAGG